ensembl:lncRNA
GGAUAAAGUUAUUUAUUAGAAUAAAGUAAGUAUCAUGAAAUCUGUAAAGGGAUUAGUGUAGCGUAUGGAAGAUUAGAAAAUGUGCGAUUAUAUGGUUUGGACAGAAAACCAGUACCAAAAUCACAAGGAACGACCGAGCCAGAACGGAGGAAACUUAACCCAGACAGACAAAACAAAUACUGGGAACAACAAACCAUCUUUACCAUGUUGGAAAUACCCAAACAAAAUGCAACAAACCAAACUGAACAGCAAACCAACAUAUGUGACCAACCAACUGAACUACUGACCAAACACACAAUUCUUUCGACUAGCCUAUGUAUAUGGGCAGUGGAAAGUGUGCUGUGUGGAUGUUGAAUAGUGUUAACAUAAAACAAAACAUGGAACCAAUCCAAAGGUCCAAAACCUUAAGGAACCACCCUAAACAGAACCCAAGCCCACCUGCCUCUGUGGAAAGAGAGACUGGCUAAAGCCUGCGUGGCAGACCUGCACAGGUGCACCUCAUCAGCUGACAAGCCUCUCAGCCCCGCCCACUGGCUACCUGUAGCAGGUAGGCAAACACAGAGGACCCAGCAGACGAAGGAGAGAGAGAGCAGUCACAGCUGUCACAUCUGUUGCCUGAAGAUUCUUUGUUUGUCUCCAACAAAACCUUCCAAACAGAUGAAUCAUUGGCUCAUCCCAGAAGUGUCAAAUUACUUUUGUGUGUCAAAACGGGCAGGGUGGUCGUGGACUCCUGAAAAAUACUAUGGUUGUUUUGUAUGUAGAAUAAAAUGCCAUUAUACAUUUAAAAAAAAAAGGGAAGACUUUCACAAUGCAGGAUUCUGGGAAUGCAGUGAUGGAAUCCCGAUAACACCUGUUCCCUAAUAAAUGGGCUCAAGAUUCUGAGUCUGACUGCAAGAGGUUGUGUGUGUGUGUGUGUAUGUGUGUGUGUGUGUGUGUGUGGUUGGUCUCUUAGGGAGCUUGCUGUAGCCUCUGGUCUGUGUAUUUAUUUAGAUUUAUUAAUUUGAACUGGAAUGCACACAUGAAGAACUGGAGUGGAUACAACACAUAUCUGUGCACAUUAAGAUUUAUUAGCUUUUAUAAAAAAAAAAAAAGACAAGUCACAAGAAAGCAUUGCUAUUUUUUUCAAGUCUAAAAGCUAUUCUACAUUUAAUUCCCUUUGGACCAACUGGAGGGCUACAUGAACAAACUUUUUCAUAAAAGAGCAAACUAUCUCAAAAGGCUUCCACUGUAGGUGUGCUCUUCGUCUGGAGAAGAGUGGGACACAGCGAGUGAGUUCUACCCUCGGUAGAAGCGUUGUGGCGUAAAGCGAGUGAGAAUAUCCUACUCUAGGUGCAGUCAAACUUCUUUGCAAAACUUUGUCGAUAGAAACGCAAAAUUCAUCAUUGUGACAUAUCUUGGAAGGAGCCUGCAGACAGACUUGUGUUUAGAAAACUCACAGGACAAACCACAUUAAAGUGUCUACUUUACAAAUAAAUUACUGUGUAGCAGAACAUGCACAAAAGACCGACCAAUGCCCCCCCCCAUCCCCCCCUCCGUGGCAGAAGAGCUGCCUUCACCCCCCACUGGUUGCGUGGUUGCCGUGGAAACCAAGCUUCACAUCACUCAACCUCGACUUGCUGGAGACGGUUGAGGUUGUCAUGGAUGGAUAUAAACAUGUGAACAUUCCUUAUACAAUCACUACGAGGUCUGUAGUCACACAAACAAUAUUAAAACCUGAGAUUCGCAGACCAAACGUUGUCAAAUAUUGGGAAUUGAUGAUGAACAUGAAGAAUGAUGAAGGUCAAUGGAGAAGUGGUAGAAGUGUGACAUCGUUCAGUUUGAAAUAUUCAGUAGUGCACAGGGUGGCUAACAGCUCAGGACAGUUUGAAACUAGUGGACAUAUUCAGUAGUGCACAUGAAGAAUAUUAUGGAUAUGGUCCCUUAUUAAAUAAAAGCAACUUGUAAGUACAUUUUUUUAACCUAGAACUGAAUAAGCAGAUUGUAUGCAUAACGUACAAACGCCCAUUUUAUACAAACGCUACAAAAGUAUUAAUUCUAUAAAAUACAAAUAUUUUAAAAUAUAUUUAAAAAUUUUGAUUUCAAACUUUACAAUAAUGGGUAAGCUACUGAAAGUUGGCUACAUGUAGGAGAAAUAUGUUUUGAGUUUUGUUUACCUGAGAAAUAAGCUAUCCAAAUUUAGCACAUAACGUCAUUGUUGUAUUUAGUGAGGUAUAUUAAAUAUUGAAGAAGUCUGAGCAAACAAGGGUUUCAUUGUUCAAUGUUACAAAAUCUGCGUAGGCCACAAUAAUAAAAAAUAAUACCUGGGUACAAUUUAAAAGGAAAAUAAAAAAAAUUGAAGGGGGGAAUUAAUAAACCCAUAAAAAAUAAAAUAGAAAAAAAUCCUAUUAAUUUGCCAAAUAGAACGUGUAUAAUUUGUGUGUCUGUUUUGAACACCAUGUGAGAAUAAGCAUUUGUUAAAAAAGCAAAAGCAAUGUUUGGAAGCUUCACUUGAAUUUCCAUGAAGGAAUUAUCUACGAAGACGUAUCUACUAAGCCAGCUAGUGUUAGGUGCACACGUUAAGGAGACGGAACGCUAGCUGUGUCUGAUUGGGGGUGAGUGGUCAGGUGACUGUGGUCUGAUUGGCUGUGGGGCUGUGAGCACCAACAUGUGGGCUGGACAGAACUGAGGAAGACGGUUCACAGCCUACAUUGAUGUUCCAUCGUUUCCCUGCAACAAACACAAUAAACAACAACAUCCGUCUUAGAUCAAGAACAACUCUAACUGCAUUACUACUGAGCAGUCAGAUCAAGAUCCUCAUAGGAUUCUAACCUCCUCAACUUCAGAUUCUGCACUGAUGACGAUUCUCUUCUCGACGCGAGUCUCUGUGGAUCCACUUUUCACCACCUGACCAAAGACAAAUGUUAGCUACAUUAUCAAUAAAGACAUGCUAAAUAAAGACAGAGGUAGCUACAUUAUCAAUAAAGACAUGCAAAAUAAAGGCAGAGGUAUGUGCACUAUCAUAAAAGACAGAGGUAGCUACAUCAUCAAUAAAGACAGAGGUAGCUACAUCAUCAAUAAAGACGGAGGUAGCUACAUCAUCAAUAAAGACGGAGGUAGCUCCAUCAAUAAAGACAGAG